GCUAGCUACAGGCUUAACACAUGCAAGUCGAGGGGCAUCAGGAAGAAAGCUUGCUUUCUUUGCUGGCGACCGGCGCACGGGUGAGUAACACGUAUCCAACCUGCCCUUUACUCGGGGAUAGCCUUUCGAAAGAAAGAUUAAUACCCGAUGGCAUAAUGAUUCCGCAUGGUUUCAUUAUUAAAGGAUUCCGGUAAAGGAUGGGGAUGCGUUCCAUUAGGUUGUUGGUGAGGUAACGGCUCACCAAGCCUUCGAUGGAUAGGGGUUCUGAGAGGAAGGUCCCCCACAUUGGAACUGAGACACGGUCCAAACUCCUACGGGAGGCAGCAGUGAGGAAUAUUGGUCAAUGGGCGCUAGCCUGAACCAGCCAAGUAGCGUGAAGGAUGAAGGCUCUAUGGGUCGUAAACUUCUUUUAUAUAAGAAUAAAGUGCAGUAUGUAUACUGUUUUGUAUGUAUUAUAUGAAUAAGGAUCGGCUAACUCCGUGCCAGCAGCCGCGGUAAUACGGAGGAUCCGAGCGUUAUCCGGAUUUAUUGGGUUUAAAGGGAGCGUAGGUGGACUGGUAAGUCAGUUGUGAAAGUUUGCGGCUCAACCGUAAAAUUGCAGUUGAUACUGUCAGUCUUGAGUACAGUAGAGGUGGGCGGAAUUCGUGGUGUAGCGGUGAAAUGCUUAGAUAUCACGAAGAACUCCGAUUGCGAAGGCAGCUCACUGGACUGCAACUGACACUGAUGCUCGAAAGUGUGGGUAUCAAACAGGAUUAGAUACCCUGGUAGUCCACACAGUAAACGAUGAAUACUCGCUGUUUGCGAUAUACAGUAAGCGGCCAAGCGAAAGCAUUAAGUAUUCCACCUGGGGAGUACGCCGGCAACGGUGAAACUCAAAGGAAUUGACGGGGGCCCGCACAAGCGGAGGAACAUGUGGUUUAAUUCGAUGAUACGCGAGGAACCUUACCCGGGCUUAAAUUGCAGUGGAAUGAUGUGGAAACAUGUCAGUGAGCAAUCACCGCUGUGAAGGUGCUGCAUGGUUGUCGUCAGCUCGUGCCGUGAGGUGUCGGCUUAAGUGCCAUAACGAGCGCAACCCUUAUCUUUAGUUACUAACAGGUUAUGCUGAGGACUCUAGAGAGACUGCCGUCGUAAGAUGUGAGGAAGGUGGGGAUGACGUCAAGUCAGCACGGCCCUUACGUCCGGGGCUACACACGUGUUACAAUGGGGGGUACAGAAGGCAGCUAGCGGGUGACCGUAUGCUAAUCCCAAAAGCCUCUCUCAGUUCGGAUCGAAGUCUGCAACCCGACUUCGUGAAGCUGGAUUCGCUAGUAAUCGCGCAUCAGCCACGGCGCGGUGAAUACGUUCCCGGGCCUUGUACACACCGCCCGUCAAGCCAUGGGAGCCGGGGGUACCUGAAGUACGUAACCGCAAGGAUCGUCCUAGGGUAAAACUGGAG
rnacentral:rRNA from 1 species